rnacentral:rRNA from 1 species
AGAUUGAACGCUGGCGGCAUGCCUUACACAUGCAAGUCGAACGGCAGCACGGGAGCAAUCCUGGUGGCGAGUGGCGAACGGGUGAGUAAUAUAUCGGAACGUGCCCAGUCGUGGGGGAUAACGCAGCGAAAGCUGUGCUAAUACCGCAUACGAUCUAUGGAUGAAAGCGGGGGAUCGCAAGACCUCGCGCGAUUGGAGCGGCCGAUAUCAGAUUAGCUAGUUGGUGGGGUAAAAGCCUACCAAGGCGACGAUCUGUAGCUGGUCUGAGAGGACGACCAGCCACACUGGAACUGAGACACGGUCCAGACUCCUACGGGAGGCAGCAGUGGGGAAUUUUGGACAAUGGGCGCAAGCCUGAUCCAGCAAUGCCGCGUGCAGGAUGAAGGCCUUGGUUGUAAACUGCUUUGUACGAACGAAACGGUUCUCUCUAAUACAGGGCUAAUGAACGGUAACCGUAAGAAUAAGCAACCGGCUAACUACGUGACCG